UCGAAAGCAUACGAUUAGAGAAGUAUUAUCUAGCCACGUGAGGAUUUGAAGAGUACAGCUAUUCCUAUUCGCUGUUUCGUGGUUCACGCCUCCGCAAAAGUGGCACAGCGAACUUUGAACGCUACCAGAGCUGACUAAUCGGUCGAAGUUUGCUAGAUCGUUUCCGUGCCUGAUUAUUGUCCCCCAAUCGACCGUUGUGAAACUACUUGGUGAAGUAAAUCGGAACGGAAUCGAGUGAUGAAAAUUCUCAGUCUCAUUAAUGUGUCUGUUAAUUUGCAUCUCAGAACAGGGACAGAUUCAGAAGUAUUUUUUAGAAGGGAUGAAAUAUGUAUAUUAAGAACUUCACGAUCCUCCGUUCCUCUAUGGAUUUGCCAUCCUCUUAAAAUAAUGAAUUUUUCUCUAUAUAAGAAAGAUGGCUUUCAAUUUGACCACCCCAUUUGCAUUUCAGUCGCAUCGAUAAGAAUAGAACGGAACACGAUGCAGCUAUCUUAUAAACACCUCUUUUUUUAUUCCUCAAAUAGUAUUAGAAACAAUGGCAAUGUAAACAUGUUUUGCACGGAUCGGUGACAAGAAGAAGAACAUAGAGGAAUCAUCCGUUUCUUAUUGAGCAACGUCGUAUGCAAAUGACCAUUCGGUACUCCUUCAAAUUAUUCCUAAUUUAAAAGUCCUGGAAAAUUGAGAAAAAUAAUAUUAUAAGAGCACUUGAAAUUUUUUUUUUAAUCUAUGAAGUUCAAGGAAAAAUAUGCUCGAGCGAAUAUUGAUUAAGUAAAGGUUUACGUUCACAAAAAAAAAGAAAAAAAAUGAAUGAUACGAAUUGCUAGUUUCGUUGACAAACCGACCUUACGUAACACGCGACAAGGAUCUACACUGCAAUUUUAAACCUCCAUUAUGUAACAAUUACGUUGGCAAAAAUUUUCCUCGGAAAAUGCAAUGUCGUUCAAGAAUCAUCAUAAACUCGUGACACUUUAUCAAAAGAUCAACGACAAGAUGACCGUAGAAAUGUGACCCCAGUUUCCACGAAACAGAGACGAUAAGAAAAAUGAUUAAAGAAUGCUCCUGAUCGUGACAAUUUUCUUUACACUGGACAAUUCUAAUGGUGUCAGACACACAACGAUUCCUUUUUCCACUGAUCAGAUUUUCACUGACGAAGUCGAUGAUUUAAACAACCCUUACUGAUAUGGUGUUCACGGAAACGAUAUUGUUCAACAUGAUUACAAAUACAGAUUCUAGAAAAAUAUGUUAUUCGAUGGUGGU